rnacentral:rRNA from 1 species
CAGCCGCCGCGGUAAUACGUAGGUGACAAGCGUUGUCCGGAUUUACUGGGCGUAAAGAGCGCGCAGGCGGUCGAUUAAGUCGAGUGUGAAAGCCCCCGGCUCAACUGGGGAGGGUCAUUCGAAACUGGUCGACUCGAAGGCAGGAGAGGGUAGUGGAAUUCCCGGUGUAGUGGUGAAAUGCGUAGAUAUCGGGAGGAACACCAGUGGCGAAGGCGACUACCUGGCCUGUUCUUGACGCUGAGGCGCGAAAGCUAGGGGAGCAAACGGGAUUAGAUACCCCGGUAGUCCUAGCCGUAAACGAUGGACACUAGGUGUUGGUGGUAUCAACCCCGCCAGUGCCGAAGCUAACGCAUUAAGUGUCCCGCCUGGGGAGUACGGCCGCAAGGCUAAAACUUAAAGGAAUUGACGG